rnacentral:rRNA from 1 species
GAUGAACGCUGGCGGCGUGCUUAACACAUGCAAGUCGAACGAAGCAUUUAGAACAGAUUAUUUCGGUAUGAAGUUCUUUAUGACUGAGUGGCGGACGGGUGAGUAACGCGUGGGUAACCUGCCUUGUACUGGGGGAUAGCAGCUGGAAACGGCUGGUAAUACCGCAUAAGCGCACAAUGUUGCAUGGCAUGGUGUGAAAAACUCCGGUGGUAUAAGAUGGACCCGCGUCUGAUUAGCUAGUUGGUGAGAUAACAGCCCACCAAGGCGACGAUCAGUAGCCGACUUGAGAGGGUGACCGGCCACAUUGGGACUGAGACACGGCCCAGACUCCUACGGGAGGCAGCAGUGGGGAAUAUUGCACAAUGGAGGAAACUCUGAUGCAGCGACGCCGCGUGAGUGAAGAAGUAAUUCGUUAUGUAAAGCUCUAUCAGCAGGGAAGAUAGUGACGGUACCUGACUAAGAAGCUCCGGCUAAAUACGUGCCAGCCGCCGCAGUAA